rnacentral:lncRNA from 1 species
AAUAUAUCAAGCUUCAUUAGAAGAAAUAAAAUAAGUUAAUUGAUAAAUCUAGAGAAAAUUGUACAGUCCCUGAGUCCUUGUGGUGAAAUUGAUGACUUACGGAGAAGGAUUCUGCUGAACAUGUACUUCUUGCUUCCACAAGAGUGAGAAGCCCAGACCAUGAAGUGCCUGGUUCUGAGAAUCAUGAGAAAAAGACAAAACUCUUCCUGGCAGCUGUCUACGAAUCCAGGAAAUCCUUGGACAGAAAGAAAAUUAGAUCCUCUGCUUUCUGGAAUGUGAGGAGCUUUAUACAAGGGGAAUUGUUCAUACCCAUUGCUGCAGACCUGGUCUCAAAACUGCUGCUGGAAUUACCGAGAUGGAAGCGAAUUCCUCUGAAUGAGGUUUUGAAGCUGGUUAGAAGAUAGGUUUGGGGGACAUCUUGCGGGGGAGCAUUAUUCUGCCUACCAAAGCACUCAAUCUGGAUUUGGGGAUCAGAAAAAGCUUCCUGGAGGAAUUGAUGCCUAAGAAGAGAUUUAAAGGAUGAAGAGGAGUACCUACUUCUGGAGAGAAGAAGUAUUUAUCAGAAGAGUGGAGCAACAGUGAGUGGACCAAUUUGUUCAAGAAAGAACUUACUGUUCAGCCACAAACUGGGCCUGGAGAUGGUACACAUCACAUCCAUCCAUCUUCUGUUGGCCAGAAUUUAGUCAUACGAUCAUACCUCACUGCAAGGAGCUUGGGAAAAGCAGUCCAGCUGCAUUCCCAGGAGGAAGAGGAAAGAGGUUUGGCGGAUACCUAGGCAGUCUAUGCCACAGAGGGAUGAGGUCAACCCAGCCAUCAGCAAACUAGAAUCAGUGCCUGAUUCCAUAUUCAAUUCAUUGAAAUUAAGACACUGAAGAUUCCUGUUACAAGCAAUGCAAGCAAACGCAAAACAUAAGGGAAUGGCAAUUUGAUGUCUGGACACAGGAAAUGAUCCCUCAGUCUUUCUGGGCUUCACAAAGGAGGAUCAAAUCAGCAAUUUUCCAGCACUCUCUGAGGAUAUGGAAUGGAUGGCUCAGCACAACUCUUCCUCUUACUAGGGCCACCUCCUCACAUGCCUUAAUCUGCAUGACAGAAUGCAGGGAUGUGCUGCAGGUUUCAACUUCUUCUUUGUGUUCCCUCUUCAAGUGUAAAAUAGCAG